UGGCAUGAGGCCCUGUCACAGAGCCUCGGGGAGCCCAGGGCCCUGGAAGUCUCCCACCCAACUCCCACCUCCUGGCAGAGGCUGCGGGGGCGGAGGGGAAGGGGUCCAGAGCCCUGAGAGGAGCAGGAGUGGCAUGCAUGGCCCGUGUGUGUAUAAGUGAGUGAUGGAGGCAAAGGCCAAGUCAUAGGGCCUAGGUGGGUACAACUCUGAGACCCGUUCCCAUUCAUUUCUGGCCUUGUGACAGUGGGCAAGGCACUUCACUCCUUGGAGACCCAACCCUGUCAUAAUAUUCAACAUUUGCAGGGCGCUCUGUGGUUCACUUUGUGACUUCACUGGUAUCCUGAUCUCUACAAUGUUGGGAGGGAUUCUCACAUGCAUUCCACACAUGAGCAGUUGAGGCUCAGCUAGCUGGGCAGCUAGCUGGCAUCACAGCACCCACAUGGGAACGAGCCACAUCUCAAGCCCAGUUCUCAGGUGCUCAGUUCAGCAUCCUGUCUGUAUGCCUACAGCCUCUCCACAGGGACCACUCCCAGGAUCUUGCAAAUCUUGGCAGACUCAAAGGUUUAGGGCAGGGACCAAAAGGAGCAAAAUCAGUGAGAAGAAGACCAGAGCUUCCCCUGCCAACCCUGGACAUGGGAUCUGAGGAUUGCACAGUCCCUGAAAGCUCCCUGGGCACGGCCCCCCUCCUGCCAGGCACCAGCUGCCCUGGGUCCACAGCCUGCCUGGGCACAUGCUGAGCCCCUCCCAGAGGCUGUCCCUGGCCACAGCAGGUGCCAAGGCAGCAGCAUAGUGUGGGCAGGGGGUGGGCAAGCGGGCAGGCCCGGUCCAUCACGCACAUCCCAGCAGCUGUGCCACGAGUCCAGAGCACGCCCUUACCCUUCCAGCCCAGCCUGGCCAUGGCUGCCUCGGCACCUCUAUAGGACAGACGUGCCUGCCUCGAAGGCUGGGGAGCCCAGGGUUUGAUUCUCGUGCCACCCACCCAGCCCUGGUUCUCUCCCAGACCCCAAAUCUUACUCUCCCUGGCUUCCCCUAACCUUCAGGGUUGGGGAGCAUCUCGCCCAUUUGCCGUCCUGGAAAAAUUGCAAAGGGAAUUGGGAAGGGUGGGGCAGGGCUGGAGGAGGAGGCGGCUUUUCCCUUUGUCAGGCUCCUCUGGGGCCGGCAAUGAGGUGAUAAUGCUCCUAAUGGGCCUGGAUAAGCGGGCGGAUCAGUGGUGUCAACAAUAGUGGAGCAGGAAAGGGCUGGAGAGAGGAGAAGCCUGGCCACGCUGGAGAAAUAGAGAACACUUGAGGAGCAGGAUGUCCAGUUUCCGGAACAUUGGGCCUUCUGAAUGAGAAACUGGUCAGCCGCUCCCUGUGGCCUCAUCAGGACCUGCCCUUCCCUCAGUAUGGACCUAUCCACUACCCAGAAAGCAUCACAAAAUCAGAAAUAUUUGAGCUGGAAGAAUACUUCAGGGUGGCCUCAUUCUGCUCGGCAUAUGCCAUGGCCACCACGGCCAGGAUCAGAUUGAUGAGGUAGAAAGAGCCCAGGAAGAUGAUGACCACGAAGAAGAUCAUAGCAGGGCAUCGUUGGAGCCCUCCAGGAAGUAGAAGUUCCCUUUGGGAGUCAGAGGCCACAAAGGAGGCAAGUCACCCACAUGGACACAGUGUGAGCACCUGCGCCCAUUGCACACCUGUGGACAGGUCUGCGCGUACCACAUAAACCAAACGGAUGUUCCCUGGCUGCCUCUUCCCCGUCCUUUAAGGACAGCUCCAAGUUCCAAGGUCUCUGGGUAGGGACUCGGCAGGGAGCUCAGCUUGAGCCCUGUCAGCCCAGUGCCCAGUGUGGACGAAAAGUCAUGACGCAGCAGUGGCACAGAGACGGAACGUGUACGUGUGUGCAUGGGGUUAUUGUGUACCUAUGUAGGGCCCCUGAGUGAAGGGUGAGUGGGGGCUGGAAUCCAGGUGCCAGGGUGAGAAGGGUUACCUUUUCCUAAUUUGCAAGAAGGCGCUAUGUAGACUAACAGUGGCUGUGUGAGAAUGUGUGUGUUUCUGGCAUGUGUGCCUGUGAAGAUGCAUAUGUGAAUAGGAUGUGGGUGUGUGGGUGGGUGAUGGUGACCCUGCCAGGAUGUGAGCAUGUGAAAAUGUGGUGUGAUGAAGGAGGACAGGGGGUGCACAGGUUAGGGAGUAGGAACUAUAGACUCUUGCUUUGCAUAGUGAGAGCUUUAGGAUUUUUUUUUUUUUAGACUGAGUUUCACUCUUGUUGCCCAGGCUAGAG
rnacentral:lncRNA from 1 species